UAAUACAAUUCUAAAUAUACAAUAACAACAUAGGGAUACAUGCUUUAAUUAUUCUUUUUAUAUGUUUUUAUAUUUAAAAUACUUGUGUUGCUUGAUAAUCUAUUAUGCAAUUGCUAGAUCUUACUAUCUUUCUUUUAUGUAAGUUUUUUUUUAAGAAGUGAUUCUGUAAUAACCAUUCAAUCAUUUGUAGUAGCCGUUAGUUGUUUUCUCAUUGUGUGAAUGCUUGACCAAAAAACAUUUUAUUUAUUAUUUAAUUUUUUUUUUUUUUUUGAUUACAGGUAGAUGCCACUGAGAGUGAACCAAAGAGUUUUAUCUUUAUGAGUGAGGAUGCUUUGACAAAUCCACAGAAACUGAUGGUUUUAAUUCAUGGUAGUGGUGUUGUCAGGGCAGGUCAGUGGGCUAGAAGGCUUAUUAUUAAUGAAGAUCUGGACAGUGGCACACAGAUACCUUUUAUUAAGAGAGCUAUGGAUGUAAGUGAAUCUUCCUUUGUUUUGGGGGGCAUUUUAUCAUUCUGUUUUAUUGCAUAGAACAGUUUUAUUAUCAUUUUCAGAAAUAUAUUCAUAGCAUAAUCUUAUUAAGCCUUUAUUUACCUUACUUGUAUGAUUAUUAUUUUGCAGUGAUGCAGGAAAAUGUAGUGAUAUUGUUGUUUACGUAAAGGGUUAAAUGUCUUUGAAAUGAGUAUUUUAAAUUUUCCCAUGUUAGAAAAUUUUUUUUAUUUUCUUUGUUUAACAAUAUGAACUAUGAGUUUUAACUCUUCUUUCAUAUCAUCAUUAACAAUGAAAUACUUCUGACAAACCCCCAAACAUAACGAACCUUAAUUGUGCUUGGAAUGUUUUGCUUUCGUCCUGUCAUGAAGAUAAAAGGGAAGGAGACUUGCUGAUGAUAGGUAAUCUGUCCCGUGAGGGACAUACAGUCAGGACAUGGUCUUGGAAUUUAAAUAAUAUUCUGAGCCCUCAAAUAAAAUGUUUCAAGCUUAAAAUAAUCAUAUAAACUGUUAAAUUGUAAUAUUUUAGAAUAUUUUUCUAUUCUAGUAUUGUUCUAAUGUUCAAUUGUUGUGUAUAAGUCUUUUAAGUUAUUCAGUGAAGAGCCAGUUUUCACAAAGUAUGAGUUUCUUUUAUAUGUUACUAGGAAUAUUCCUCAAAAACUGUUGUCUUGUAAAAAACAUUUAUGAUAGAGAGGGUAUGUUAGAAAUGGUACAUGUGUCUAUGUAUAUAUUUUAUUUCUAAAAAUGACAGUAUAUUUUAUAAUUAACAUUGUAAAUAUAUCUUGGAUAUAUAUUUACAAAAUAGAACAGUAAAUAUUUUAAUAUGUUCAGUAUUCUUUUGUCCUGGAUAUAAUGAUAGCAUUUAAGACAAAUCCUAGAGAAUGCUUUUCUUAGUAGAUUUUGUGAAUCCUCAAAGUUUGGCUUUAUGAGUUCCUUAAGUUAAUGCUUUAUCCACCUGUGCAAAGAAACAUGCAACUUUUAUUUGGGUACUACUCUAAUUGUGAUUGUAGAAAAAAAUGUAGUAACUGAUUAUUCAAUUAAGAAGUCAGAAUAAUUAAAUAUUCAUUUACUAAGUUGAAAUAUAUACUAAAAUGACAAAAAUUAGUGCUUUUUAAACUGUCUUAUUUUAUGAUAUAGUUAGUAAAUUAUUUCUUCAGUGGUUCUGGUUGUGAUUUUAACACAGUAUAUGUUUUAGAGAGAACAUGCAUGGAAAAUGUGUGUACAGUUCAUUAAGUAUUUGAAAAUAAUAGUCAAGAACUGAGGAAUUCCAGACAGCAAGCACUUGGUGAGAUGCUCAUGGAGUUCUGUUCCCCUGCACCAGUGUCACCUGCUUUGUCUAAUGUAGAACAUUUGUUGAUGUGCUUUUUGAGGUAAAACUGUGUGGAGGAAACUGUGAAAUAUCUUUGUAUGGAUAGAUUAUUGAUUUGCUCAACAUGGAAGUGCUAGGUUUUUUUGUUUUUGUUUUAAAUAACAUUAGAAUAGUAAACCAUUUAACCUUUUAAGUGGAAAUAAUGUUUAGAAUAUAACAGUGUUCUUCAUUGUUUAUUUCUCUACUUUUCUCAACCAUAGUAAAUUGUGAUUCUUUGAAAGGAAAGAAUUCAUUUGUAAAUAUAUGGCUUGCCUAAGUUCUAGUUUUAGGUAGUUACAUUUUCUUUAGUUUUAAAUAAGAAGUUUAUUGUAUGAAAUCCAUCAUGAAUUUCUAAAAAUGUAUGUCAUUUUUAAAUCCAGAUGAAGUGAUUUUUACCAUCUGGCUUCACUUGUUACAGUUACUGCUCUGGUGGUAGGGAAGGAUUUAUGGCAUUUUAGGGGAGCAGGCAGAGGAAGAUCCACAGGAGCAAGGUGCAGUCCCAUUCUUUGCUUUUAACAUGGUAGUUCAGCUUUUUUUUAUUUUGUUGUUUUCUGAGAUUUCACACUGUUUUCAUAGUGUAGAAAGGGUUAGCUGAUCAUUAGGGUUUUGAGGUCCUGUGAGUUUUUAUACUGGUGUACAAGUCAAUUUUAAUAUUUUACAGGUUAGACAUUGUCAUCUCCAUAUAGUAUGAAUUAUCACCAGAUUAUUUAUAUAUUAUUUCAAUUUCUAAAUUAUGUCCAUAUCAAUGUAUCAUAAUCCUCUCGAGCAGGUAAGCCAUGUCCUAGAGGAACACUGCAUGAAGGGCAUGAUCUUUUACCUAUGGCUUCAUUGUGGCUAACAUUGUGGGUGUGAGGUCUGUAACAAAGAUUUCUCUAGAAUUUUUCAACUCCAAAGAAAAUGAUAGGUGUUCUAUCCCUUAUAUUUAGAACUUGAUUAUAAAAUAUAUAUUAAGAUUUCAUUAGGGAAGAAUGGUGCCUAUCAAAUACCUUCCUGUAAGUACUUACAAGGUUUCCAGGGUUGGUGGUUUUAGUCUUUAAUAGGCUUCAUUGCAUAAUACAGUACUCAGGUAAGAAAGUUUAUUAUUUAUCCACACAUCUAUGAUUCAGUAUCUUUAUAAUUUGAGUUACUCAAUGUGUUAGUAGUCUUUGACUUCUCCCUUUCUUUUCAGGCGUUUCUGCUUGUGUGUGUAAAGGGGGAAAGUAAAGUAGAUGGCCCUGCAAUCCUUUAAAUGCUUCUAGAUUUAAAACAAAUGACCAAAGUGUGGACACUUUGCCCCUUCUUAGAAUUGGGAACAAAACACCCAUGGAAGGAGUUACAGAGACAAAGAUUGGAGCUGAGACGAAAGGAUGGACCAUCUAGAGACUGCCAUAUCCAGGGAUCCAUCCUAUAAUCUGCCUCCAAACACUGACACCAGUGCACACACCAGCAAGAUGUUGCUGAAAGGACCCUGAUAUAGCUGUCUCUCGUGAGGCUAUGCCAGUGCCUGGCAAACACAGAAGUGGAUGCUCACAGUCAGCUAUUGGAUGGAUCACAGGGUCCCCAAUGGAGGAGCUAGAGAAAGUACCUAAGGAGCUAAAGGGGUCUGCAACCCUAUAGGUGGAAAAACAAUAUGAACUAACCAGUACCCUCCCCGGAGCUCGUGUCUCUAGCUGCAUAUGUAUCAGAAGAUGGCCUAGUUGGCCAUCACUGAAAAGAGAGGCCCAUUGGUCGUGCAAACUUUAUAUGUCUCAGUACGGGGGAAUGCCAGGGCCAAGAAGUGGUAAUGGGAGGCAAAGAGAGUGGGGGGAGGGUUUGGGGGAUUUUGGGGGUAGGAUUGGAAAUGUAAAUGAAGAAAAUACCUAAUUAAUAAAAAAUAUGCAUGCAGUUAAGGAGACACCUCAGUGACUUCAUCCUUAUCUCAUCCUUGGCUGAUUGAGUUGCACUAUGGAGAGCUGGGUGUAGGGGUGUCUGGAGGUUGACAUGGGAAAAUGUCAAUUCAAGACUAGUCUGGACAAUGAGGCCUAGUUUC
rnacentral:lncRNA from 1 species